UGUGAACUCGAAGAGUAGGGCGGGACACGUGGUAUCCUGUCUGAAUAUGGGGGGACCAUCCUCCAAGGCUAAAUACUCCUGACUGACCGAUAGUGAACCAGUACCGUGAGGGAAAGGCGAAAAGAACCCCGGCGAGGGGAGUGAAAAAGAACCUGAAACCGUGUACGUACAAGCAGUGGGAGCCUUCAUUUAUGGGGGUGACUGCGUACCUUUUGUAUAAUGGGUCAGCGACUUAUAUUCUGUAGCAAGGUUAACCGUAUAGGGGAGCCGCAGGGAAACCGAGUCUUAACUGGGCGUUAAGUUGCAGGGUAUAGACCCGAAACCCGGUGAUCUAGCCAUGGGCAGGUUGAAGGUUGGGUAACACUAACUGGAGGACCGAACCGACUAAUGUUGAAAAAUUAGCGGAUGACUUGUGGCUGGGGGUGAAAGGCCAAUCAAACCGGGAGAUAGCUGGUUCUCCCCGAAAGCUAUUUAGGUAGCGCCUCGUGAACUCAUCUUCGGGGGUAGAGCACUGUUUCGGCCAGGGGGUCAUCCCGACUUACCGAUCCGAUGCAAACUGCGAAUACCGAAGAAUGUUAUCACGGGAGACACACGGCGGGUGCUAACGUCCGUCGUGAAGAGGGAAACAACCCAGACCGCCAGCUAAGGUCCCAAAGUCAUGGUUAAGUGGGAAACGAUGUGGGAAGGCACAGACAGCCAGGAUGUUGGCUUAGAAGCAGCCAUCAUUUAAAGAAAGCGUAAUAGCUCACUGGUCGAGUCGGCCUGCGCGGAAGAUGUAACGGGGCUAAACCAUGCACCGAAGCUGCGGCAGCGACGCUUAUGCGUUGUUGGGUAGGGGAGCGUUCUGUAAGCCGUCGAAGGUGUGCUGUGAGGCAUGCUGGAGGUAUCAGAAGUGCGAAUGCUGACAUAAGUAACGAUAAUGCGGGUGAAAAACCCGCACGCCGGAAGACCAAGGGUUCCUGUCCAACGUUAAUCGGGGCAGGGUGAGUCGACCCCUAAGGCGAGGCCGAAAGGCGUAGUCGAUGGGAAACAGGUUAAUAUUCCUGUACUUGGUGUUACUGCGAAGGGGGGACGGAGAAGGCUAUGUUAGCCGGGCGACGGUUGUCCCGGUUUAAGCGUGAAGGUGGUGCGACCAGGUAAAUCCGGUUGCGCAUUAACACUGAGGCGUGAUGACGAGGCACCACGGUGCUGAAGUAACAAAUGCCCUGCUUCCAGGAAAAGCCUCUAAGCAUCAGGUAACACGAAAUCGUACCCCAAACCGACACAGGUGGUCAGGUAGAGAAUACCAAGGCGCUUGAGAGAACUCGGGUGAAGGAACUAGGCAAAAUGGUGCCGUAACUUCGGGAGAAGGCACGCUGGUGCGUAGGUGAAGCGACUUGCUCGUGGAGCUGAAACCAGUCGAAGAUACCAGCUGGCUGCAACUGUUUAUUAAAAACACAGCACUGUGCAAACACGAAAGUGGACGUAUACGGUGUGACGCCUGCCCGGUGCCGGAAGGUUAAUUGAUGGGGUUAUCCGUAAGGAGAAGCUCUUGAUCGAAGCCCCGGUAAACGGCGGCCGUAACUAUAACGGUCCUAAGGUAGCGAAAUUCCUUGUCGGGUAAGUUCCGACCUGCACGAAUGGCGUAAUGAUGGCCAGGCUGUCUCCACCCGAGACUCAGUGAAAUUGAACUCGCUGUGAAGAUGCAGUGUACCCGCGGCAAGACGGAAAGACCCCGUGAACCUUUACUAUAGCUUGACACUGAACACUGGUCCUUGAUGUGUAGGAUAGGUGGGAGGCUUUGAAGCGUGGACGCCAGUCUGCGUGGAGCCAACCUUGAAAUACCACCCUUUAAUGGCUGGUGUUCUAACGUGGGCCCGUAAUCCGGGUUGCGGACAGUGUCUGGUGGGUAGUUUGACUGGGGCGGUCUCCUCCUAAAGAGUAACGGAGGAGCACGAAGGUUAGCUAAUCCUGGUCGGACAUCAGGAGGUUAGUGCAAUGGCAUAAGCUAGCUUGACUGCGAGCGUGACGGCGCGAGCAGGUGCGAAAGCAGGUCAUAGUGAUCCGGUGGUUCUGAAUGGAAGGGCCAUCGCUCAACGGAUAAAAGGUACUCCGGGGAUAACAGGCUGAUACCGCCCAAGAGUUCAUAUCGACGGCGGUGUUUGGCACCUCGAUGUCGGCUCAUCACAUCCUGGGGCUGAAGUAGGUCCCAAGGGUAUGGCUGUUCGCCAUUUAAAGUGGUACGCGAGCUGGGUUUAGAACGUCGUGAGACAGUUCGGUCCCUAUCUGCCGUGGGCGCUGGAGAAUUGAGGGGGGCUGCUCCUAGUACGAGAGGACCGGAGUGGACGCAUCACUGGUGUUCGGGUUGUCAUGCCAAUGGCAUUGCCCGGUAGCUAAAUGCGGAAAAGAUAAGUGCUGAAAGCAUCUAAGCACGAAACUUGCCCCGAGAUGAGUUCUCCCUGAGACUUUAAGUCUCCUGAAGGAACGUUGAAGACGACGACGUUGAUAGGCCGGGUGUGUAAGCGCAGCGAUGCGUUGAGCUAACCGGUACUAAUGAACCGUGAGGCUUAACCUU
rnacentral:rRNA from 1 species